CCUCCUCCUCCGCGAGUUCUCCCCUCACGGGAAGCGGCUGCCUUUUGCCCGACGAGGGAAGUUCGGACCCGAGAGGCGGCGGCGGCGGCGCCUGGCAGUCGGAAGCGGAGGACAACUGCUUACUCGAGCACGGAGCGCGGAACUGAGGCAGCCGCGAGAGGGAGGCCCCUGCUUCUCGGCGAAGGAGCGCGCUGGACCAAUCACAGAAUGUGGAAAUAUGGAGAACUGAACUUAAGACUGGAACAAUGAGAACUGGAGAGAAGCCUAAAUCUAUGAGUAUAGUUCACUGUCGGCAGCAAACUCUAAAGAAGUGUUAAGAUAAGAACCAAGAAGUGCAGUGAGAGACUCUUG